ensembl:lncRNA
CCGGGCUCUGCCCCGCACGCCGCAACCCCGAGGCAGCGAGAAGGGCGGGGAGGUGGACGCCGGGCGCCGAGGAGCCGGUACGGAGGGCGGGAGGAGGAAGAGGACAGAAAAGUUUGCACAGGAAGGAGCCGCCUACAGCCGGCUCUCGCUCCAGCGGGCGCUCGGAGCUGGGCCGCCCUCGGUGCCCGCGAACCUACCCAGCUGCUCCGCCCCCAAGCCCCAGUCAAUGGCCAGGAUGGCAGCAGGAGGUCCCCUCCAUGGAGCGCUGUUCACCCAGCAAUCUGGCAGCAGAAAAGCCUAGUUUGGGCUUCAGGAGCUUGGUUGCAAGGUCCCCACAAUGAAUGUGGAAAGGGCAGCCCUAGCGGGAGAUACCAGGAUUUCUGCUGAGAAGGUGAGCCCAGUAUAAUCACAAGAGUCCUUGAAUGGGGAAGUAGAAGGCAGAAGAGUGAGGCCAGAGAGAUGGCGUAAUGAGAAAGACUCAAACUGCCUUUGCUGGCUUUAAAGAUUAAAGGAGUGCACAAAAUAAGAGAUGAGGGCAGCCCGUCUCUACUAAAAAUACAAAAAAUUAGCUGGGCAUGGUGGUGCGUGCCUGUAAUCCCAGCUACUCAGGAGGCUGAGGCAGGAGAAUUGCCUGAACCCAGGAGGUGGAGGUUGCAGUGAGCCGAGGAGAUUGCGCCAUUGCACUCCAGCCUGGGUAACAAGAGCAAAACUCUUGUUACAACAACAACAACAACAACAACAACAAAAGAAAUGAGGGCAGCCUCUAGAAGCUGAAAGAGGGAAGAUCAUCCCCUGGAGCUUCCAGAAGUAAUGCAGCCCUGGCAACAGUGAUUUUAUUUCAGUGAGGCCCAUUUCAGACUUCUAACCUCCAGAACUGCAAGAUGAUAAAUCUGUGUUUUCAGCCACUAAGUUUACUGUAAUUUGCUUGCAGCAACAGGAAACUAACAGAGAGAUAGAACCAAACGAAUGAAUAAAUGAAUGAUAUAAUGUCAGGAAACAGUAAGUGCUCAGAUGAAAACUAAAGCAGGGCAACGAGAUGUGCAGUGAAGGGAUCAAGUGAUGGGUGAUAUAACGGAAGCUAUGUUUUCGAAAGAUGAAUGUGAGCUCAACAGAGGUUAGAGGAGGGGAACUUGGAAGCAGAGCCAAGUGAUGUAGUCACAUGACAUGCCUGAGACCCCAGAAGCAGGCAGGUCUAGGCAGGCUCGUUCAUGGGUCCCCCAAUAGCUAAAGUGGAACUGAGUUGGUUGCUUCAUGUUACACACAUAAUACUCAUAAGAGAAGCCUGGAAACAAAAUUUAAUGCAUAAGAAAGAGAAAUUGACUUGUUCUUUUAGGCUAGUCGCUUGAGAAUCCAUUAACUUCUUCCCUUAGCCACUUGGUCUAAUCCACUACUGAGUCAUUUCUUUGAUUCAUUCGUGUAUUUAUUUACUUAUUCAUUGGUUUAUUCAUUUAUUCAUUAACUUAUUCAAUCCAUAAGCAUUUCCUGAGCGCAUUACCAAGCCUUGGAAGUAAUGGCGAGAAAAGCAAAUUUGGGUUCUGCCUUCAUGAAGCACACUGUUGAUUCUGUUGAAGACUUAACACAAAAAUAUUAAACAACCACUAAGUUUGGCAUCCACUAAUCAAAACAGGCCCUAUCCUAGAGUUCCUCAACAUAGCCCUGGUUCAUUCUUCUCUCUCUAACUCCACUGCUACAGCCUUUUAUUACCUGGGAGAAGUGGUCUCUAAAGGGGGUUUCCCCACCUGCAUCAAAUCCUCCCUCUGCAACACAUGCUCCCUUCCCCAUCUGCAUCCAGACCCUCUGCAACACUUCCUCCCUAACAUAGUCAAAAUAAUAUUUUUAAGAAACUGAUCUGGCCAGGCACAGUGGCUCACUCCUGUAAUCCCAGCACUUGGGGAAGCCGAGGCAGAUAUAUCACGAGGUCAGGAUUUUAAGGCUAGCCUGACCAACACGGUGAAACCCUGUCUCUACUAAAAAUACAAAAAUUAGCCAGGUAUGGUGGUGCAUGCCUGAAAUCCCAGCUACUCAGGAGGCUGAGGCAGGAGAAUUGCUUGAACCCGGGAAGCAGAGGUUGCAGUGAGUCGACAUUGUGCCAUUGCACUCCAGCCUGAGCAACAGAGUGAGACUCUGUCUCAAAAAACAAGAAGGAGGAGGCGGAGGAGGAGGGGGAGGAGGAGGGGGAGGAGGAGGAGGAGGAGGAGGAGGAGGAGGAGGAGGAGGAGGAGGAGGAGGAGGAGGAGGAGGAGGAGGAGGAGGAGGAGGAAAGAAGAAAGAAGAAAGAAGAAAAGAAACAGAUCUGCCCCAUCACUACUCUGACUAAAAUCCUUCAAUGGCCUUUCAUUGUCUACCGAAACAGACCCAAGCCUCCCCAGGAUGCGGCAUAUUCCUCAGCCUUCUGGUAUCCUAUCUGUUUGACUCUACAACAUGUUUGUGUCUUUCCCGCACUACUGCCCUUGCCCAAGUUGCUCUCUCUGCUUAAAGUGCUUUGUAUUUCUUCCUAGACAGUCUGCUGGACAGUCUGGACAGCAAAUGUGUUGUGGCUGAGAGCACAGAGUUCAUAAGCCCAGUGGCCUACAUUUAUUUAAAUCCUGGUUCUGCCACUCAGUAUAGCUGAAUGACUUUGGGCAAGCUAGGCAACCACUCUUUGUCUCAGUCCCUCAUCUGUAAAAUGGGUGUAACAGUAUGAUAAUGGAAAUGAUCACAGGUUGGCAAUGAGCUAAUAUAUGUAAGUAAAGCACUUAGAACACUAUCUGGCAGACAUACAGAAGCAGUUAUUUUCAUGUCAGCUUGGCUCUUCUAAACUGUCAGCUUUUUAAGGUCAACGAUGUCUUCUGAUUCAGCCUUGUAUCUUCUGGACUCAGCACAUUUGUUAGUAUAUGUUAGGUGUUCAAUAUGAAUUUGUUGAAUAAAUAAAUUUAAUAAAAUGUGAUUUUAAAAGAGCAUAUGAAAGAAUUAAAAAAAUCUUAUUUUGAGCAUGUCACAAGCUAUUAUGAAGUACAUCAAUCAAAUGGAGAAAUCUUAGUGUUUUCUAUGUAUCCAUAAAUUUAAGAUCACGUUUUAACAUUUUCAACAAAAGAAUGGCAAUCUGGG